rnacentral:rRNA from 1 species
UACGUAGGGUGCAAGCGUUAAUCGGAAUUACUGGGCGUAAAGCGUGCGCAGGCGGUGAUGUAAGACAGAUGUGAAAUCCCCGGGCUCAACCUGGGAACUGCAUUUGUGACUGCAUCGCUGGAGUACGGCAGAGGGGGAUGGAAUUCCGCGUGUAGCAGUGAAAUGCGUAGAUAUGCGGAGGAACACCGAUGGCGGAAGGCAAUCCCCUGGGCCUGCACUGACGCUCAUGCACGAAAGCGUGGGGAGCAAACAGG